UAGUGGCGGACGGGUGAGUAACGCGUGGGUAACCUGCCUUACACAGGGGGAUAACACUUAGAAAUAGGUGCUAAAACCGCAUAAGCGCACAGCUUCGCAUGAAGCGGUGUGAAAAACUCCGGUGGUGUAAGAUGGACCCGCGUCUGAUUAGCUUGUUGGCGGGGUAACGGCCCACCAAGGCGACGAUCAGUAGCCGGCCUGAGAGGGCGGACGGCCACAUUGGGACUGAGACACGGCCCAGACUCCUACGGAAGGCAGCAG
rnacentral:rRNA from 1 species